CUACGGAGGGGGCUAGCGUUGUUCGGAAUUACUGGGCGUAAAGCGUACGUAGGCGGACUGAUCAGUUGGGGGUGAAAUCCCAGGGCUUAGCCCUGGAACUGCCUUCAAUACUGUCAGUCUAGAGAUUGGAAGAGGUGAGUGGAAUUCCUAGUGUAGAGGUGAAAUUCAUAGAUAUUAGGUGGAACACCAGUGGCGAAGGCGCCUAACUGGUCCGGUACUGACGCUGAGGAACGAAAGCGUGGGGAGCAAACAGGAUUAGAAACCCCAGUAGUCC
rnacentral:rRNA from 1 species